rnacentral:rRNA from 1 species
GCUACGGGGGGCUGCAGUGAGGAAUAUUGGUCAAUGGGCGCAAGCCUGAACCAGCCAAGUCGCGUGAGGGAUGACGGUCCUAUGGAUUGUAAACCUCUUUUGUCGGGGAGCAAGGCCCGCCACGUGUGGCGGGAAGGAGAGUACCCGAAGAAAAAGCAUCGGCUAACUCCGUGCCAGCAGCCGCGGUAAUACGGGGGAUGCGAGCGUUAUCCGGAUUUAUUGGGUUUAAAGGGUGCGUAGGCGGAAGGUUAAGUCAGCGGUCAAAUGUCGGUGCGCAACACCGGCCUGCCGUUGAAACUGGUCUUCUUGAGUGAGCGAGAAGUAUGCGGAACGCGUGGUGUAGCGGUGAAAUGCAUAGAUAUCACGAAGAACUCCGAUUGCGAAGGCAGCUUACUAAACUGCCACUGACAUUGAUGCUCGAAAGUGUGGGUAUCAAACAGGAUUAGAUACCCUUGUAGUC